AACAAACGCUGGCGGCAGGCCUAACACAUGCAAGUCGAACGCUCCAGCAAUGGAGAGUGGCAGACGGGUGAGUAACGCGUGGGAACCUUCCCUAUGGUUCGGAAUAGCCCAGGGAAACUUGGGGUAAUACCGAAUAAGCCCUCCGGGGGAAAGAUUUAUCGCCAUUGGAUGGGCCCGCGUCGGAUUAGCUAGUUGGUGGGGUAACGGCCUACCAAGGCGACGAUCCGUAGCUGGUCUGAGAGGAUGAUCAGCCACACUGGGACUGAGACACGGCCCAGACUCCUACGGGAGGCAGCAGUGGGGAAUAUUGGACAAUGGGCGCAAGCCUGAUCCAGCCAUGCCGCGUGAGUGACGAAGGCCUUAGGGUUGUAAAGCUCUUUUGGCGGGGAAGAUAAUGACGGUACCCGCAGAAUAAGCUCCGGCUAACUUCGUGCCAGCAGCCGCCGUAAGAC
rnacentral:rRNA from 1 species